AGCUCCAAUAGCGUAUAUUAAAGUUGCUGCAGUUAAAAAGCUCGUAGUUGGAUUUCUGUACGUGACGUGUCUGGCCUUGGCGUGGUUACACGUCCGAGUGCCGGACGUUGUCCGUCUGUCUUCUCCGUUCUGUCCGUCGUCCUUCACUGGAUGUGCGGUACAGGUGGGGAUCGUUUACUUUGAACAAAUUAGAGUGUUUCAAGCAGGUCGUGUGCCUUGUAUACCUUAGCAUGGAAUAAUCAUCUAGGACUUCGGUACUAUUUGGUUGGUUUCGAGCGCUGAAGUAAUGAUUGAUAGGGAUAGUUGGGGGUGCUAGUAUUCAGAGGCCAGAGGUGAAAUUCUUGGAUUCUCUGAAGACUCACUUAGGCGAAAGCAUUCACCAAGGAUGUCCUCU
rnacentral:rRNA from 1 species